UGAUUAUGGCUCAGGACGAACGCUGGCGGCGUGCUUAACACAUGCAAGUCGAAGGACAACGUGUCUGUCGGGAUAUGAUUGCUGUGGACCACGGGUGAGUUGCGGAACACUUAUCCGCCCCUUGGUUUGGUGGGGAAUCGGGAAAGGAGGGCUGAAUUCAUAUGAUAUCAUAUUAUAAAGUGCCUUCGGUGCCUAGGGAUGAGCUCGGCUCUCAUUAACUGGUUUGCGGGGUAACAGCCCAUUGGCGGGACAACGGGUAGCUGGUCCGACAAGAUGAUCCUGGUGUGAGAGACUGACACACGGCCCAGACUCCUACACGAGGGCCCAACUCCGAAUAUUGGCCAAUGGACGGAAGUUUGACCCAUGGACGCCGCUUGCAACAUGACGGCCCUCUGGGUUGAUGACUGUCCUCUGGAUUGAAUAAUACUCGCCUCUGGCGAGUUGAACGUACCCUGAAAUGUGGCUCCGGCUACCUACGUGCCAACAGCCGCCGUAAUACGUGCCGAGCAAGCGUUGUCCGGAUUUACUGGGUGUAAAGGGUGCGAUUGCUGGUUAGUAAGUGGUGGGUGAAAUCUUUCGGCUUCCCUUGUGACUGCUUUUGAUACUGCUCAUCUACUGUUCUGGAUACGUCCAUGGAAUUCCAUGUGUAACGUUGAAAUGCUUAGAUAUGUGGCAGAGCACUGCUUACAUAUGCGGUCGACUGCCACGUAACUGACGCUCUUGCUACGACAGCGUGUGGAGCGACGCGAUUAAGAUACGCUGAUAGUCCACGAUCAAAUACACUUAUACUCCACGCCGUAUCGUAUGAAUCAGUGCCGUAGUAACCACUGAUGCAUGUCACCUCGGGAGUACUCUCGC
rnacentral:rRNA from 1 species